rnacentral:tRNA from 1 species
GGAGGGAUGGCUGAGUGGUUGAAAGCGAUAGACUGUAAAUCUAUUUACACUUUGUAAUCGUAGGUUCGAGUCCUACUCCCUUCA